rnacentral:SRP_RNA from 1 species
GCCGGGCGCGGUGGCUCACGCCUGUAAUCCCAGCUACUGGGGAGGCUGAGGCUGGCGGAUCGCUUGAGUUCAGGAGUUCUGGGCUGCAGGGCGCUAUGCCGAGCGGGGGUCCGCACUAAGUUCGGCAUCAAUAUGGUGCGCCCUGGGGAGCCGGGGGAUACCAGGUUGGCUAACGAGGGGUGAAUCGGCCCAGGUCGGAAACGGAGCAGGUCAAAACUCCCGCGCUGAUCAGUAGUGGGAUCGCCCCUGUGAAUAGUCCCUGCAGCGCAGCCUGGGCAACACAGCGAGACACCGUCUCUU